UACGGAGGGUGCAAGCGUUAUCCGGAUUCACUGGGGUUAAAGGGCGCGCAGGCGGGCUGGUAAGUCAGGGGUGAAAGCCUUGAGCUUAACUCGAGAACUGCCAUUGAUACUAUCAGUCUUGAAUAUUGUUGAGGUUUGCGGAAUGGGUCAUGUAGCGGUGAAAUGCAUAGAUAUGACCCGGAACACCUAUUGCGAAGGCAGCAGGCUAAACAAAGAUUGACGCUGAGGCUCGAAAGCGUGGGGAUCAAACAGG
rnacentral:rRNA from 1 species